AGGACGAACGCUGGCGGCGUGCUUAACACAUGCAAGUCGAGCGGUAAGGCCCUUCGGGGGUACACGAGCGGCGAACGGGUGAGUAACACGUGAGCAAUCUGCCCUUCACUUCGGGAUAAGCCUCGGAAACGGGGUCUAAUACCGGAUAUGACCGCGCUACGCAUGUGGUGUGGUGGAAAGUUCUGGCGGUGGAGGAUGGGCUCGCGGCCUAUCAGCUUGUUGGUGGGUAAUGGCCUACCGAAGGCUUCGACGGGUAGCCGGCCUGAGAGGGUGACCGGCCACGACGUGGGACUGACGACACGGCCCAGACCUCCGUACGGGAGGCAGCGAGGUCGGGAAUGUUGGACGAAGUGGGACUAAAGCCGUAGAUCC
rnacentral:rRNA from 1 species